GUUUGAUCCUGGCUCAGGAUGAACGCUGGCGGCGUGUCUAAGGCAUGCAAGUCGUUCGCUCAACUUCGCUUCGGCGGAGCUAGGCGAGGCAAACGGGAGAGUAAUACAUUGGUAAUCUACCCCGAAGACGAGGAUAACCCCGCGAAAGUGGGGAUAAUACUCGAUAAUAGUAAAGAACAAUAAGUUUUUUACUUAAAGUUUCGGCGCUUCGGGAGGAGCCUAUGUCCUAUCAGCUUGUUGGUAAGGUAAUUGCUUACCAAGGCUGCGAUGGGUAGCGGGGGUGAGAGCCCUGUCCGCCUCACUGGGACUGAGACACGGCCCAGACUCCUACGGGAGGCUGCAGUCAAGAAUCUUCCUCAAUGGCCGCAAGGCUGAAGGAGCGACGCCGCGUGCAUGAUGAAGCCCUUCGGGGUGUAAAAUGCUUUUAACCGGGAUGAACGAUGACAGUACCGGUUGAAUAAGGGGCUGCCAAUCUCGUGCCAGCAGCAGCGGUAAUACGAGAGCCCCAAGCGUUAUCCGGAUUUACUGGGCGUAAAGCGUUCGUAGGCGGUUUGCCACAUCUCCUGAUAAAUCUUUCGGCUUAACCGAAAGACUUUAGGAGAAAUGGGUAAACUAGAGCCGGAAGAGGCAAGCGGAAUUGCCGGUGUAGGGGUUAAAUCCGUAAGAUCGGCAAGAACACCAAUGCAAGGCAGCUUGCUAGGACGGUCUGACGCUGAUGAACGAAAGCGUGGGGAGCGAAAGGGAUUAGAUACCCCUGUAGUCCACGCCGUAAACAUUGGAUGCUAGGCAUGGGAGUUAUCGACCCUCUCAGUGCCGGUUUAGGUAACCCGUUAAGCAUCCCGCCUGGGGAGUACGAGCGCAAGCUUAAAACUCAAAGGAAUAGACGGGGACCCGCACAAGCGGUGGAGCACGUGGUUUAAUUCGAUAAUGAGCGAGGAACCUCACCAAGGCUUGACAUCCUGCUGCAUGCCCUGGAGACAGGGUUGCCUGCGAGGGCGCAGGACAGGCGCUGCAUGGUUGUCGUCAGCUCGUGUCGUGAGAUGUUCCGUUAAGUCGGGAAACGAGCGGAACCCCUGCCCUAAGUUUUACAUGUCUUGGGGGACUGCCCGCUAUAAGCGGGAGGAAGGAGGGGACGACGUCAAAUCAGCAUGGCCCUUAAGUCUUGGGCUACACACGUGCUACAAUGGGAAGUACAAAGGGACGCCAAGCCGCAAGGCGGAGCAAAUCCCUUAAAACUUUUCUCAGUGCGGAUUGGGGUCUGAAACUCGACCCCAUGAAGGUGGAAUCGCUAGUAAUCGUGGAUCAGUACGUCAAGGUGAAUACGUUCUCGGGUCUUGUACUCACCGCCCGUCACGUCAAGGGAGUCGGCAAUACCCGAAGUUCCUCUUUCGAGGGAUGAAGGUAGGGCUGGCGAUCGGGACGAAGUCGUAACAAGGUAGUCGU
rnacentral:rRNA from 1 species